AGCAGCCGCGGUAAUUCCAGCUCCAAUAGCGUAUAUUAAAGUUGUUGCAGUUAAAAAGCUCGUAGUUGAAUUUCAGGCCUGGCUGGACGGUCCGCCCUUCGGGUGAGUACUGUCUGUGGUCGGGUCCUACCUUCUGGCGAAGCGUCAUGGCCUUAACCGGCCGUGGCGGGGAACCAGGACUUUUACUGUGAAAAAAUUAGAGUGUUCAAAGCAGGCAAUCGCUCGGAUACAUUAGCAUGGAAUAAUGGAAUAGGACAAUGGUUCUAUUUGUUGGUUUCUAGGACCGUUGUAAUGAUUAAUAGGGAUAGUUGGGGGCAUUAGUAUUCAAUUGUCAGAGGUGAAAUUCUUGGAUUUAUUGAAGACUAACUACUGCGAAAGCAUUUGCCAAGGAUGUUUUCAUUAAUCAAGAACGAAAGUUAGGGGAUCGAAGACGAUCAGAUACCGUCGUAGUCUUAACCAUAAACUAUGCCGACUAGGAAUCGGGCGAUGUUGACAAAAUGACGC
rnacentral:rRNA from 1 species